rnacentral:lncRNA from 1 species
GAAUGGCUCCAAAGAAGACAUGAGACGACACCUCCAUUACUCCUAUUCAUGGAGAUGGCACAGAGGAAAUACAAGAGAAGAAUAUAUUUGCAGAUGCAGAUGAUAGAAGUACAAUCAAUAAAUAUUUAAAGAUAUCAAGGUUUACAGAUGAGGGAACCAAGGUACUCAAAGAAUCUCUCACAAAGGAGGAUUGGAUACUGAUAAUGCUGUUGGAAAUUAUUGUUCAGGUAAGAGUUUAACUAGAUGGUAUUAGGCAUUCCUUAAAACUCUGAAAUUUUAUGAUCUGGCUCUUUAAAAUACACUUGGGGAAUUUUUUUGUAGUCAUUUUGGUUUUUUGCUGGUGCCGUGGAUAAAGUCCUGGUCUAAGGACUAGAAGUCCUGAGUCCAAAUUCUGUCUGAGAUAAUUACUAGCUCUGUCACCCUAAGCAAGUCUAAUA